CCUGCCCACUGAUAAUAUUAAUUUAAUGGCCGCGGUAUUUAUGACCGUGCAAAGGUAGCAUAAUCAUUAGUCUUUUAAUUGAAGGCUUGUAUGAAUGGUUGGACAAAAGGAAAACUGUCUUCUUUAAUAAAAAUUGAAUUUAACUUUUAAGUGAAAAGGCUUAAAUAUUUCAGAGGGACGAUAAGACCCUAUAAAGCUUUUAUAAAAAAUAAAAUUUAAAUUGAGGUUUUAUUAAAGAUUAAGGUUUAUGUUUUAUUAGGUUGGGGCAACAAAGGUAUAAUUAUGUUUAACUGCUUGGUGUAUAAACAAAUAUUCUUGUAUUAAAAUUAAAUGAUCCUUAUUUUUAAAGAUUUUGGAGAUUAAGUUACUUUAGGGAUAACAGCGUUAUUUUUUUUAAGAGUUCAUAUCGAAAAAAGAGUUUGCGACCUCGAUGUUGAAUUAAAAUUUCUAUAUAGUGCAGCUAUUAUAUAAGAGGGUCUGUUCGACCUUUAAUUUUUUACGUGAUCUGAGUU
rnacentral:rRNA from 1 species